rfam:Oryza sativa (indica cultivar-group) chromosome 6, whole genome shotgun sequence.
AUAUAGUGAUAUUGUAUAGUAUGCUUUCGCAAGAUGCAUCGUCUUAUAUGAGAUUUUUUUAUAAUUCGUAUUUUCAUUGUUGUUACAUAAUAAAACAUGAUUAAUAUUUUAUGCGUGACUUGUCUUUUUAAUUUUUUUCAUAUUUUUUUCAAAUAAGACGGACGGUCAAACGUUGGGCACGGAAACCAGGGUUUGUCUUUUU